ACAAAGCAGCAAGUGCCAAGUGCCCUUCCACCUGCUUCUAGAUCAAGGCUGAGAACAUUUAAGCAGGACUAUCCCAGAAGGGUCUGGUUGGAACAGGCAGAAGGGGGCAACGGCUGCGCUGGAGCAAGUGUGCGUGCUUGCUGGGGCCAGACGUGGCGCUGUGAAACAGAGCCCCUCUGAGAAGACUCUGUGGGGAUCAAAAUGCGACCCUGAC
rnacentral:lncRNA from 1 species